CCAUUCUCAGCUGAGGAGACUGUCUCCAAGUUAUAAACAGCAGGAGGAGGUCCAUAGCUUGGCCCAGUGAUUGGUGGGUGAGGCUCAGUGUUCCAUUGGGUCUCUCCUGUACCCAGGGCCCAGCAGCAGUGCGGAACCGGGCCCACUCCAGAGGUAGAACCUGUAAGUACCCAGGGUAACCAAGAACCUCCAGCAGGACCAAGACCUGCUCCUCAGUCAGCCCAGCAUGGGAGAGGUGAACGAGGCAGAGAGCGUCUCAUAUCCAGUCUCUGAGAUCUGGAGAGAAGGAGGCAGUAAAGGAUGCCGCACAUCUGCAGCUCGCUAGCCACCACCGCCAGGAACAGCGGCAGGCGGUCCAUCCCAGCCUGGUAGUGGUUCCCAAGAGGAAUUGCAGCAGGGUCCUGUGCGGCUCCUGGCAGGGCAGG
ensembl:lncRNA